GCUGUGUUGACACGCUCUGCACCUUGCUCCUGCCCUCACUUUUCACUCUUCUUAUCCCCCCGAUCCCUCGAUCAUUCCUGACACCUUCUGAGUUCCUGUAUUUCAUCAUCCAGCCCUGCAGGAUGCUCCCCUUUGUUCUGAGGAAGGCUGUCCCAGACAGAGAGGAGGAGAUGGAGCUUGAUACAGAGAUUGAUAUGGAGGAGGAGAUGGAAAUAGAUGGAGAAGACCCUGGAGAGGAAGAGAUGGAGGUGGUUGUGAAGGUGGAAGAGGAAAUGGAUGUGGAUAUGGAAGAGUCCAUUGUGGACAUGGAUAUUGAUUAAAAAGGUGCAAUGGACAGCACAGACAGAGACACCACCCUUGUGUAUAUAUGUUCUACAGUUUGUUGUUGUUGUUCUUUAGAAUGUCGAUUGUAGGGCUAUUUUUGACAUCUGUAAAUACGUUUCCCAUAGUUUUGCUAGGUAGGUUUUUAUGUAUAUAUGUUCUAUCUAUUGUUG